rnacentral:tRNA from 2 species
UGCGGGGUAGUGUAACGGUAGCACGUUAGGCUCUGAACCUAAAAAUUCUGGUCCGAAUCCAGACCCCGCAG